CACCUAUUUUUGAGAGGUGUUGAUCAACUGUCGAAGGCUACAAACGACAGCGUUUUGAUGCGUUAGCCAAAGAGUCAUGACCCUUGCACGGGUCUCUCUACCCUCUCAGCUCCCUUCGUGAUUCUCAACAAGGAAGAAGAUAAUCAGAUAACUCUUUGCACUGCUCCUCUGCUGGAUAUUAUCUCAGCCUUUCUCCUACUAUUCCACCAGAAACUGACAUCAUAUUCCGAGAAAGGAAAGUAAUUGAUUACUCUCUUGACUUCGAAUUCGAAUGUCUACUAGUUGAUUGGACUUUCAAAUUCUGGGGGGAUUUUGGCGAAUGGAGAGAUCUAGAUCGAAGAGGAACUAUCACUACGACCAAGACUACGACGGAGACUCCAUCGCAAGGUCCAAACCUCGCUUCAACAAUAACUAUGGCGGCGGAGGAGGUAAUAACAGAUACCGCGGCGGCGGAGUAAACGGCCGUCCAUCAAAGUCCCACCCCGAAACCAUGGCGACAACGACCUACCGCGUCCUCUGCCACGACGCCAAGGCGGGAGGCGUCAUCGGCAAAUCAGGAUCCAUCAUCAAGUCCAUUCGACAGCACACCGGAGCCUGGAUCAACGUCCACGAGCUAGUUCCCGGAGACGCCGAGCGCAUCAUCGAGAUUUCCGACAACCGCCGCCGCGAUCCCGACGGGAGGAUGCCUUCGUUCUCCCCCGCUCAGGAGGCUCUGUUCAGCGUCCACGACAGGAUUCUGGAGAGCGAGCCUCAGUUUGGGGCGGAAGAUGAGGAGGAUUACGGUGGAGUGAGAGCCGGAGGAGGGAGGGUUGUGACGAGGCUUGUGGUUUCGAAGCUUCAUGUGGGUUGCUUGUUGGGUAAAGGCGGCAAGAUCAUCGAGCAGAUGAGGAUUGAGACCAAGACUCAUAUUAGGAUUUUGCCCAGAGAGACUAACUUGCCUCGUUGUGUUUCCUUGUCUGAAGAGAUUGUUCAGAUUGUAGGUGAAGCAGCUGCAGUCAGAAACGCUUUAGCUAUUGUAUCGUCGCGUCUAAGAGAGAGUCAGCAUCGUGAUCGCAGUCAUUUACAGGGGCGUGUACAUUCACCGGAACGGCCUUUUUCACCUGCUGAUGAUUACAUCCCACAGCAGAGAAGACAAUCGUCAGAUAGGUUUCACUUUAGGAAUAACAGUUUCAGCUCUCGCCAGUCCAACUAUGCAGAAGAAGAAGCUCCAGUUGGUGAGAAUGUGCAGCCUUUCUACGCUGAAGAGCUUGUGUUCCGGAUUCUAUGUCCUGUUGACAAGAUUGUUAAGGUUGUUGGGGAAGCAGAAGGUAUAGUAGAUUUGCUUCAGAACGAGAUUGGCGUAGACGUGAGGGUAUCUGAACCUGUUGCUGGAUCUGAUGAGCAGAUAAUUACCAUUUCUUCAGAAGAGGCACCUGAUGAUCAGCUUUUCCCUGCUCAAGAAGCCUUGUUGCACAUUCAGACUCGGAUCGUAGACCGUGUUCCUGAUGAAGAUAACAUUAUAACAACUAGAUUGAUUGUCUCAUCUAGAGACUCAGUAUGUUUGGAAGGGAAAGCAGGAUCAGUAUCUGAGAUAUCACGAGUAACUGGAGCUAGCGUUAAGAUCCUACCAAGGGAAGAAAUGCCUCGAUGUGUUUCCAUCAAUGAUGUUGUUGUACAGAUAGCUGGGGAGAUCAGAGCAGCUCGUGAUGCACUCGUUGAGUUAACGUUACGACUGAGGAGUCAUAUGUACAGGGAGCUCUCUCAGAAGGAAACACCACCGGCUUCAACAUCCACAACUGGCCCUCUUGAAGGUGUUGCAGGAGUAAUAGAGGUCGCUUCAUCAAAUAACACAACUCAAUCCCGUGAAGGACUCUCAAUAGCGCCACAAUAUAAGGAAAGUGGUGGACCAGUUGCAAAGGUGGGUGAAAGUGAACAGCGGGAUGAGGUUCCUAACACGGCAAGCAGAAUGUCGGUGCCACUAGUUACUAGGAGCACUCUUGAAGUUGUCUUACCAGACCAGGUUAUUCCUAAGCUAGUUACGAAAUCAAGAAACAAGCUUGCACAAAUCAGUGAGUGGUCUGGAGCUAGUGUAACAUUAGUUGAAGACCGACCGGGAGAAACACAGAAUGUCAUUCGAAUUUCGGGUACGCCAGAGCAGGCAGAGAGAGCACAGUGCUUGCUUCAAGGCUUCAUCUUGAGCAUACAAGAUGAUGGACCGUGAACUUGGACAUGGAUUCAAUCAGAGAAACUAAAAAAUGUGGAGUUUGUAUGAAUUGUUGAGUAAUAGAAUCCGAGUGAAAGUGUGGCAGUAACGGGUAGAGGUUUAGUGAUAGAAGAACAAGCGUUUUAUCCACCAGAUGGAGAUGUAUUUGGCCAAUUGGUUCCUGGAUAGAACUUGUACUCCUGUGACCUUGGACUUGGAUUACACUCCUGCAGAUUCUUGACCAUCGAUGCCUUAGUGUCCUUGACAAGCAGUUACAUUUUAGUUCGUGGCCUCUAUAAUGACAGGAACUGGUUGUAUUAUAGUACUACUUUUGUUGUAUAGUUGUAAACGACGAUAUAUAGUUGGCUUGAAAGCCUGUAAAAUCACUUACAGAAAUAAUGUUGCACUUGUUGGAAAAAUAAAACACAUGGGAUUUGCUUUAGCUGUUAGAGAUUAGUAUUUAGAAAGAACAGAAUUGCAAGAUCAUAGACUCUGAUUAUAUCGUUGUGACAGCAAGAAUCGUAAUUAUGAUAUGUUUAUUUUGCAUUAUUUCCAUCAAGUAUAGUUGAGGUUGUCACAGAAAAAAUCCAUCUCUCUAAAAAAUCUCUCCAUCUUCUCUCUUCAUAGUUCAUCUUCACCGCCUGGGGUUUGCGUUUUCCUUUCCGGCGGUGGCUUGGCGGUGGUGUGUCACCGGAGCCACCGUCGGGGUAGUUUUUUAGUUUUAAUUAUGUUUUAUUUUCUCUUUUCUUUGCGUUUCUAGUAUUUAGUAUCAUCUUUCUGGCAUCGAUUGCAAGCUAUUGCAUAGUAUGGCCGGCUUUGACUCUGGCGGCAUCAUCUUAUACUCCGGUGAUGGCGGCCGGCUUUGCUUCCAACUUCGACCUUUCCUCAAGGGCUGUCGGUUCUACACGUGUGAUUCCAGACCGUUGGGAUGUAGACAAAGGUUUUGAUUUGGAAUUAGUGGUUUGGUUCUGUUUUCUGGAUUUGGUGGUUGAUGUAGCGGGUGAGAUCUCGUCUCUGGACGAUUUGAAGCUCUUCGAUGGGUGGUGGUUUCGAUUUGUGUGAAAGCUUCUUCUCUCUGGGUUUGAGGAUUAGGGUGUCGGAUGAGAUCUCGAUAGUCGAUGAUGCUCUCUGAUGCUUCGAACAAAAAAGAUGAAGGCACAUGCUUCGAAGCUGGUGGGUUCGUUUGUGUCCUAUUCCCGGUAGCGUUUCCGGUGGCGUCGAUGAGUUUGGUCUCCGGCGUAUACCGGUGGUCGUUGACGCGUGUUUCCUCUUUUCUGCUCCGUCGUACACAUGUUGUUUACGUGGCUUCGACUAUUGAGUGGUGGGUUUGGGCUUUGUGGGCCUCGUCCUUGGUUUUAAGUUUGCCCGUUUUUCGGCUUUUGUUGUUUGCUUUCAGUAGCUUGGACCUGUACUUGGCCUUCUUUGUAAUAUUUUCCUUUGUUUAAUAUAA